UACGUAGGGUGCGAGCGUUAAUCGGAAUUACUGGCGUAAAGCGUGCGCAGGCGGCUUGCCAAGUCAGAUGUGAAAGCCCCGGGCUCAACCCCGGGAACUGCGUUUGAAACUGGCAGGCUAGAGUUUGGCAGAGGGGGGGGAAUUCCACGUGUAGGCAGUGAAAUGGCGUAGAGAUGUGGAGGAACACCGGUGGCGAAGGCGGGUCGUCUGGGCCGAUGACUGACACUGAGGAGCGAAAGCGUGGGGAGCGA
rnacentral:rRNA from 1 species